rnacentral:misc_RNA from 1 species
UUGCCGUGCUAGAUCUCAUUCAAGGUGCGUUUCUAAUAAGGAAUUAUCAAAAUGUGAUUAUGUCUGGAUGUGAGUGUUAUGUUUCAAUUUUCAAAAGUAGAUGUUGCCACAUAUAGUAAAGGGAUUUCAGUCAAAAUGAUUGAUUAAUUGCAAGUUCAUUACCAAAUCAAAGAUAUGGUAGAGAUGUUAAUACAUUAUUGGUCAUUUGGGUUUGCAUAAUAGAAUAGAAUAGAAUAGAAUAGGAGUGGAAUAGUGACUUCUAUGGUCAUGGAAGAACAUAAAUUUGGAGAAUAUCUAUUCUUUAUGAUAUUUAUGCUAUUCAAUGAGCCAAAUGAAGGCUAUGUGUUUUAUGGAGGGUUAGUUGAAAAGCCAGAAAAGUCUAACUAAUGCACAUGCAGGAGGAAGAUUUUUCGGCUUUGUGCAUUACUUUUGUUGUUUGGAUUGGUUUUAUGGAACCAAUGUUGGUUUUGGGUAAUUGAACUUUUGUGCAAUUAGUAUUUUAACCACUUCCUUCCGAAUUCCGAAUUCUGAUCACACUCGAGAUCCUUUUGAGCUUCAAAAUCUUCAACUCCAACUGAUAUAACCUUUUCUUCUUUGUUGGUUAGCUGGCAGCUUGUUCCUUUUAUAAUCUUAAUUUUUAUCACCAUAUCAAGGGUAGUUUAUUGCUUGAGAUUAUGGCUGGAUAACUUUCGGGACCUAACUCUGAAUAGCUGACUUCGAAUCUGAAAUGUUGAAAUGAUCUCUUUAAUUUUGGAGCUUGUACUUAAUACUUAAGUAAACUCCUAUUUCUUUAGUUUUUGUAGAAACACUGGACAA